rnacentral:tRNA from 1 species
GCCCGGGUGGCGAAACCGGUAGACGCAGGGGACUUAAAAUCCCCCGGCCUUGCGGCCAUGCGGGUUCGACCCCCGCCCCGGGCACCA